ACAAUAUCGUUCUACGGCGAAGUCGAGCCUGGGAUUGGUGGGGGCCUGGACCGGGAUGUGACAAUUUGGUAUUAGAGCCAAUCCCUAGCAGAAAGUGUGUCGACGAAGAGGUUGGGCCCCUAAGGGGGUGGAUUGUAACAUCCUACAUCGCAUAGGAGAGUGGAUCCUCUAAACCUUAUAUGUAUAUUCCCAUAUCUACCUAGCACGAGGCUUUUUAGGAACUCAUUGGCUUCGGGUUCCAUAGGAACUCCGAAGUUAAGCGAGUUCG
rnacentral:lncRNA from 1 species